UAGCCUUGUGGUUAAGGCUACGGAUCGCCAAUCCGGAGACGGCGGGUUCGAUUCCCGU
rnacentral:tRNA from 1 species